ensembl:lncRNA
UUUUAUUAAGAACAACUGGCAAACCAAUAUUAAACCAUUUACUUAUCUGUAUCAUUGAGCCAAUUUAAAAAAAGUAAACCAACAGGCUGCAAAGCCUUUCUUUGAGUUUAAUCAACUUAUGGGCUAAUGUGUUGUGACAACUUAUGUUAAGAAGUUUGCUCUAAGUGCUUGGCAAACCAAUACAAAACCAUUGACUUACCGUCUGUUAACUAGAAGUGGCAACAUCAGAAAUAUAGACAUCAGUCAAUGGACUGCAGUGAAAGCUGUGCUGAUGAAUCCUAAUAACUCAUAACCGCACGAGUUUUCACCUUGCACCGGGUGGUUCUUUUUUUUCCAAUGAUGUGAAAUGAGAAAGUUGUUGCAGCCAUGCAGAUUGGACUGUCAAUCGGAGAGCUCUAUCGCCUCUGGUCGUAUGUGCGUUGGACUCAAACUUGAAACCAAGGUGAGAAUAUUGCAAACAUUUAAAUCAGAAAUCAUAAAAAAAAAAAAUUAGAGAGACAAAAGACAAUAUCAACUUAAAUGUUGAACUCAUAUUUAAACAUUAACGUACAAUUGCUUAUUACAGAGCUGUGGCAGAAACAGAAGUCUCAUUUGGUCUCAUCGUUAUCAACCCUUCUAACAGCUGAUCUGACCAAGUUUUUACCACCAGGUGACUUUACGCGUCUGCACCAUUUCCAUUCUCUCUCUCUCUCUCUCUCUCUCACCCUCUCUCUCGCUCUCUCUCUCACCCUCUCUCUCACACACCCCCUUCUCCCUCUCACACACUCUCUCUCUCGGAGCCAGAGAGGGGAGCUCGGUCUCUCUCUCCUCCACCACCAGCACCACCACCCACCGGGGCUUCCUCCGCAGCCUCCCGCCGCUCCUUCUUCUUCUUCUUCUUCUUCUUCAUCAUCAUCAUCACCGUCAUCAUCAUCAUGGACCCGGGGACUAAAAGAAUCGCUUGGAUUAUCGCCCGCGUCCUGCUGCUUCUCUCCAGCUCGCACGGGACACACGGAGACGGGGUGUGCGACGGCCCGCUGGUGUCCAACCUGCCGCCGUCGUCUUUCAGGAGCUCCGGCCAGCUGUCCAGCAGCCACGCGCCGGGCUUCGCCAAACUCAACCGGAGAGAAGGGGAUCCUGUGCCGGAUCUGGAGGUGAGGCUUUGACGAAACGAAGGUCACGCUCGGAACAACUCAGAGUCGACUGAGGCAGGAAGGAUGUUGGGUACCCGCGGAAAAAAACUGAAAGGGAAGCUGAACCCGCAGAUUAACGCUGCUCGCUGUGCAACGAAACACAUCUGUUCAUGUCAACGUGACGCAGCUUUAGCGCACGCAGCCAUCGGGGCGUGUCGCACAAGCCCACAGACGUUGAUGAACUGAAUGCAGAUUCUUCAAAGUAUUUAAUAGAGCUCCCACAAAAAGUUCGGCGGUUCGGGAGGAAGCUUGUUUCCUCUCUCUGUUGUUGUGAAUUUACUACUCUGGCCGGGCCGCGAACCCCGUGACCUCGGGUACGGGGGUCCGGAAGCGCUAACCACGAGGCCAGAACCGCCAGCCCGUCUCUCGUCACUCGUGUGGUGCCGUCCGCACCGCUGGGUUGUUUUCGAGGAAAUAUUGGCAGAUUUUCAUUGCUUUAGAAUCGCUUACUGUCCCUUUAACUGGAGGAAGGUUGAGCCGGGGGCUGAGGUUCGAAAUUGUCAAACUGUCUGAGGAAGUUUCCUAAAUCCCGACGUGACCCGGAGGUAUUUGAUCGGCAGCCAUGAUGAGAGCUGUUUCGGAUUCUCUAAAUGCACAGGAAAGGAGCUUCAGUGGUUCCUUCCCUAUCUCCUCUAGCGUAGGACACACUGGAGCUUCCUCUGUGAGAGUAAGGAGACACAGACGCCCCCGCAAUUCAUUGCGGCAGCGUCAUUCGCCGUGACGCGCCAUGAACGGACGUCAACGAUUCAAUCUGAAGUAGAAGAAGAAGAAGAGUAUGAAUAUGACCCAGAAGAGACGUCAUCGUGUAAGUUACCGUUACAUAUGAAUCAUAACAUCUGAUGUCACACGGUGGUAAAAAAGACUGAAACAUGCUGAUGGAGCCGCUGAGGUCUUUUGUAGUCCACGUUGGGAAAUUUGUAGAUUCACCACGACAGACGCACCAACAACAUCCUCCGUCGCGUGAUGACCAAGUUCCGUGAAAGUGGAGUCGGCUUUUCCCAAGUCCUGUCAGUCCUCCUCCUCCAAUAAUAAUAAACACAUGGAGAUGAGAAAGUGCAGUAAUAGGAGGUGGGAGUGUGUGAGGGAAUGGGCGGCUUACGACUGACUAUCACAACAUGGGUUGGGCGUCUUUUUCUAUUUCCUUCUUCUCGUGGAAUCCAGCUCUGGCCGUCGGCGGAACGCGAAGACACUGUUUGCGUGGCAUCUCUUCGUCCAGCUGUUUGCCGAGGAGAUGGAUGAAUAAAUAAAUCACCUCCGUGUCAUUUCCAUCUCCUGCCGCCGCCGCCGCCGCCUCCGCCGGUUGUUUCCUCUGAGGAGCGGCGUUCGCUCUCACCUCGUUAAACUCGCUAAGUGAAUUGAUCGUCGGACCCCCUGACGUCCCCACCUACAUGAUGAGUGUAGACAGUAAAUCAAAAUGUUCACACCAGAGGUUCGUGUACUGACUGUGAUACCGUGGUGUCAUAUCACAUUUGCAGCAGCGUUACAUGACUUUGACUUAAUUUUACUUCUUUUUUUUUGUACCAGCGCUUUGGGUGCAUGAAAAGCGCUUUAUAAAUCAAAUAUAUUAUUGUUAUUAUUAUUUGACAUGUGUCUCGUGAGUGUAAUAUAUCAAAUUCUUUCACGUACUGAAUCGCUGCAUUUGCUAAUAGGUUUGCGUUCUGACAUUGUCUUUUUUCUUCUUGCUCCUCUUCAUCCUUUUUGUUUUGUGGAAUGAAUCCAAAUUUCCAAAACCCUGGUUUGGUUGCGUGUUUUGAAAAAAACAAACAAAAAACGAUAAGAUCAAACACUUUUGUAAGGAAACAAAAUCUGGAUUUCAAUAUCUUGGGGAAUUUAAGUUUGCUGACAUAAUGUAUAUGAACAACACUGUAAAAAAGAAAAGAAAACUUUAGCGGAUGAUAUCACGCUUCUUUUUGAUCUUGAUGAAUAUAAAAACUGAAAUAUAUCAAAUCCAUCCAAAGCUGUGUUUCAACCAUACGGGGACCAGGAUCGAAAUUAAAGGGGCAGUAAGUGAUUUUAAACUAAUACACGUUUUGUAAAAAUAUGCGAAUAUUCCCUCAAGGUCCCGCUAGCUGUCGCCAGUUAACUCUUGCGACUAGUGGUCAACCUGUCGGUCUCCCAUCCCGGAGGUCGCCGGUCCGCGGCCCGAGGCACUAAAAUCACAACAACAACAACAACAAAGAGAGAAGCAAGUUUUCUCCAGAAUCGCUUACUGCCCCUUUGAGUCCUGGGGGGAAAUCUUUUUACAUCCCUGCUGUUGGAGGGGUACUACUACAAAAGUACAGGAACCUUUGGGGUGGAGCCUUUUUGGAGAUAUUUGCAUAUUCUUUUAUAUAUAUAUAUAUAUAUAUAUAUAUAUAUAUAUAUAUAUAUGUAUAUAUAUAUAUUCUUUGUUUUCACCUUUUUUUCUUUUAUUUCUCUCAUGGUCAUUAGUCCGCAGUCACGUUUUCAUCAGUCAAGAACUGAUUCAGUCAGCUUUAGUCUUCUUACCAAGUGUCAAUAAAAGUCUCCCUUGUUGAAAUAAAUGUUUUGUUUUUUUCAAUCCCCCUCUCGGGCAACACUGACAACCAUCGGCCAUGUCACUACAAUUAGGGCUUUUCGCUGGAAUAGACUUCAAACGAAA